UACGAAGGGGGCUAGCGUUGUUCGGAAUCACUGGGCGUAAAGCGUACGUAGGCGGACCAUUAAGUCGGGGGUGAAAUCCCAGGGCUCAACCCUGGAACUGCCUUCGAUACUGGUGGUCUGGAGUCCGGGAGAGGUGAGUGGAACUCCUAGUGUAGAGGUGAAAUUCGUAGAUAUUCGGAAGAACACCAGUGGCGAAGGCGGCUCACUGGACCGGUAUUGACGCUGAGGUGCGAAAGCGUGGGGAGCAAACAGG
rnacentral:rRNA from 1 species